CGACGUAGAUUCUAAACAUAUCUCAAUAUUGCGGCUGAUUUUAAGAUGAAUUUCAACAGAUCCGUCUGGGUUUCAUAUUUGAAGUUCAAGUUGAAGAUUAACUGAAGAAGGAUUUGUUUAUUUGGUUGAAUGUAUAUAUAUAUCUAUAUAUUUUUAUUUUUUCCGCUAUUUUAUUUAUUCGAGUGAUGUAACAAUUGUAACCCUAAAGAUCAUAUAAUAAAUUUAUUUGGGGGUCGUCUAGGGGAGGGGGAUUUACAUGCUUAUUUGUUCGUUAUAUAUAUUUUUUAGAAAUCAUGCCUAUAGGUUUGUCUUUAACCACCUAGAUUUAAUGUUUAUAGGUGUUAUAAUCUAAUCAAUUCUCAAUUUGCUUGACACUUUUGUUAAUGAAGU